rnacentral:rRNA from 1 species
AUGCAGAUCUUCGUCAAGACCCUGACCGGCAAGACCAUCACCCUGGAGGUCGAGUCCUCUGACACCAUCGACAACGUGAAGGCCAAGAUCCAGGACAAGGAGGGCAUUCCCCCGGACGAGCAGCGUCUUAUCUUUGCUGGCAAGCAGCUCGAGGAUGGCCGCACCCUUGCGGACUACAACAUCCAGAAGGAGUCCACCCUCCACCUGGUUCUCAGGCUCCGUGGUGGUAUGCAGAUAUUUGUCAAGACCCUCACUGGCAAAACCAUCACCCUCGAGGUUGAGUCCUCAGACACCAUUGAUAAUGUGAAGGCCAAGAUCCAGGACAAGGAGGGUAUCCCACCGGACCAGCAGCGUCUCAUCUUUGCUGGCAAGCAGCUCGAGGAUGGCCGCACCCUUGCAGACUACAACAUCCAGAAGGAGUCCACUCUNCACUUGGUGCUCAGGCUCCGUGGUGGCAUGCAGAUAUUUGUGAAGACCCUCACCGGCAAGACCAUCACCCUGGAGGUGGAGUCAUCUGACACCAUUGACAACGUGAAGGCGAAGAUCCAGGACAAGGAGGGCAUUCCCCCGGACCAGCAGCGUCUCAUCUUUGCCGGUAAGCAGCUUGAGGAUGGCCGCACCUUGGCGGACUACAACAUCCAGAAGGAGUCCACCCUUCACUUGGUGCUCCGUCUCCGUGGUGGCCAGUAA